GAAAUGUUCCAUCCUGCAGAUCUGUCUUCCUGCGGAGUUUUAGUUGCAGCCUCACGCAAAUAUAACUUGCUUUCAAGUGGUUACAAAUAACUUGAUUUGCUAGUUCAGGCGUGUCAAUCUGUCACUCUGCAGUGAAGUUGAUCUGCGGAAAUAUUUAGCACUGUUAGUGGUACACAGUUUUUUGUACAAUGGGUGUUUGUUCAUUUCUUUCUUUUUUUUUCUUCACGUGGACAGAAACAAGAAUUAUCUCAGGCACUGAAGAUAGCAUAUAACUCUACAUUUGAGCUCUUCAAGAAUUACAGAACCCACUGCCAUUGGACAAACAAUGCAUUCCAAGAUCUAAUAGAACACCUCAACCGACAGGCCAAAUCACAUUUCGUCCCGGUGAUGAGCUCUGCACUUGAGAGGUUGGUGGAGAACUUCAAGGAGCUCGAUCAGUUUCUCACACAGCAGAAUUUUAGCUGCUGCGCGUGGGAAAAUGUGCGCCAGGACAUUCUGCGCGUCAUAGGACCACUUACAAAAAAAAUGACAAGACCUAGAAGAAAACAUGUUUAAUACAAUGCAUGCUGUAAAUUAAUAUUGUCAAUUAUUUAUUAAAACGCUUAAAUUUUAUAGUUAUUUUGCUAAUUUUCAUUUUUGCAUUGACUCAUUUUACCACAUCAACUUCAAUGAAUUUCCAAAUGGAUGAAUGUUAAUAUUCCGCUUUAUUACCGGUUCUGGGCUUAUGCUAUUUAUAAACACAUUUAUUAGAGAAUAACUCAUUUAGACUACACUAAAAUGUUUACAAUAUGCGAAAUUGUAUUGUCCUGUAUUAUACAAAACACUGUUACCCGGGAAUGUGCUAUUAUUAAUAUGAAGGAGUGUUUCGUUUACAUGUUGAUUGUAAUGGAUGUCUCAAUGUCUUUCUAAAAAAAAAAUGUGUAGACACGUUUGAAUUUGUCACUUGACCAAUGUUGACCAAAAAAUAAAAUAUUUAAAUAUUUAAAAUAUUUUUUCAGGGUGGGUUUUUUUAUAUAUAAGUUUGGCCUAUAUAUUUAAAUAUUUAAUAAAAAAAAAAGUUUAUUUAACACAUCUAUAUUUAAAAUGUGUUUGCUUCACAACAAUAAUUUAAGCAGUGCAUAAAACAAUUGGGCUGAUAAAAAAAGUAGCCUGCAUAUAAACUGCAGCGUUGGCUUAUCUUGCCAUCUACAGGCAAAUAGAUGCAACAACUUAAAAGUGCUUUAAUGUUAUCAUUAAUUGAAUAACGAACCAGAGAAAACCACAGUGGCGC
rnacentral:lncRNA from 1 species